rnacentral:rRNA from 1 species
AUAAUCAUUAGUCUUUUAAUUCAAGGCUGGAAUGAAUGGUUGGACAAAAAAUAAGCUGUCUCAGUUAUAAUUAUUGAAUUUAACUUUUAAGUGAAAAGGCUUAAAUAGUCUAAGGGGACGAUAAGACCCUAUAAAGCUUUACGAUUUGUUUAUUAAAUCAAAAAUUGUAAGUAUAAAUUUUAUUUAAUAGACAUUUGUUUCGUUGGGGCGACGAGAAUAAAAUUUAGUAACUGUUCUUUUAGAGUAUAACAAUUAUAAUUGAAGGAAAAUUGAUCCCUUAUUAAGGAUUAAAAAUUUAAGUUACUUUAGGGAUAACAGCGUAAUCUUUUUUGAGAGUCCAUAUCGAUAAAAAGGGU